UACGUAGGGUGCGAGCGUUUAAUCGGAAUUACUGGGCGUAAAGCGUGCGCAGGCGGUUUGGUAAGACAGAGGUGAAAUCCCCGGGCUCAACCUGGGAAUGGCCUUUGUGACUGCCCGGCUAGAGUGUGUCAGAGGGGGGUAGAAUUCCACGUGUAGCAGUGAAAUGCGUAGAGAUGUGGAGGAAUACCGAUGGCGAAGGCAGCCCCCUGGGAUAACACUGACGCUCAUGCACGAAAGCGUGGGGAGCAAACAGG
rnacentral:rRNA from 1 species